rnacentral:rRNA from 1 species
CAGAGCCGCGGUAAUACAGAGGGUGCGAGCGUUAAUCGGAUUUACUGGGCGUAAAGCGUGCGUAGGCGGCUUCUUAAGUCGGAUGUGAAAUCCCUGAGCUUAACUUAGGAAUUGCAUUCGAUACUGGGAAGCUAGAGUAUGGGAGAGGAUGGUAGAAUUCCAGGUGUAGCGGUGAAAUGCGUAGAGAUCUGGAGGAAUACCGAUGGCGAAGGCAGCCAUCUGGCCUAAUACUGACGCUGAGGUACGAAAGCAUGGGGAGCAAACAGGAUUAGAUACCCGGGUAGUCCCUGUCUCUUAUACA